UACGGAGGGAGCUAGCGUUGUUCGGAAUUACUGGGCGUAAAGCGCACGUAGGCGGCUUUGUAAGUUAGAGGUGAAAGCCCGGGGCUCAACCCCGGAAUUGCCUUUGAGACUGCAUCGCUUGAAUCCGGGAGAGGUGAGUGGAAUUCCGAGUGUAGAGGUGAAAUUCGUAGAUAUUCGGAAGAACACCAGUGGCGAAGGCGACUUACUGGACACAUAUUGACGCUGAGGUGCGAAAGCGUGGGGAGCAAACAGG
rnacentral:rRNA from 1 species